AUUGAACGCUGGCGGCAUGCCUAACACAUGCAAGUCGAGCGGUAGAGAGGUGCUUGCAUCUCUUGAGAGCGGCGGACGGGUGAGUAAUGCCUAGGAAUCUGCCUAGUGGUGGGGGAUAACGUUCGGAAACGGACGCUAAUACCGCAUACGUCCUACGGGAGAAAGCGGGGGAUCUUCGGACCUCGCGCCAUUAGAUGAGCCUAGGUCGGAUUAGCUAGUUGGUGAGGUAAUGGCUCACCAAGGCGACGAUCCGUAACUGGUCUGAGAGGAUGAUCAGUCACACUGGAACUGAGACACGGUCCAGACUCCUACGGAGGCAGCAGUGGGGAAUAUUGGACAAUGGGCGAAAGCCUGAUCCAGCCAUGCCGCGUGUGUGAAGAAGGUACUUCGGAUUGUUAAAGGCAACUUUAAGUUGGGAGGAAGGGUAGUAACCUAAUACGUUGACUAUUUGACGUUACCGACAGAAUAAG
rnacentral:rRNA from 1 species